rnacentral:lncRNA from 1 species
CCGGACGCGCCCGCCCCGCGGGGACCCCGGCGCCGGCUGGGCUCGAGGGGCUGCUCCGCGCCGGGAGGGGGCCAGGCCCCCGCGGCCGGGUGCAGGCCCCAGGCUUCCCCCAGCCCCGGAAUGGUCUGCCCUGUAGGAAACGCACACGCUCCACUAUUGUCUCAUCAGCACAAAGUUCUGCCACACUGCGGGGAAAGUCUGGAGGCUCACGAUGACUCAGACACAGAUAAUUCUUCCCCUAAUAGCACUGAAUCACGAUCCCAGCGGCUAGUGUCACCCCUUUUCUCAAGGACUAACGCUGCCGCAGAUCCAGUUACGGGAAGCUGUUUACGCACACACGGAUACACACGCACGCAUCCAUACGUGCAGACGUGUUGGGGAUGCAUUUUCAGCCGACUUAAGCACCUGAGCACUAAGCCUCGAGUCCAGAUUUCUACGUGGGUGUCUUUCCGGGGGUCCCAGAUGCCCGUGCGUUACAAACGGCUUAGGGUACUCCUGGCCAUGUUGUUCCCUCCUCGUGAUAACUCCGCAGUGGAGAUGGAUUCCGUCCAAGACACCGACGUAGCUCUGCUGAACGAUCAGCGCCGCAGUCCAGGCGUUACCUUCCGCUGUGGCAUUUCUCUCGAACGUGGGCACUCAGAGAAUACACUGUGUUCAGACGAUGGAGCAAGGGAAAGCGUGUCAUCAGCAGGAGCGCUCACUACGGAAUUUAACAUAUGGCGAACCCUGCGCGGCGGGAGACAAACUUGGGAUUAUAUUUUAAGUAGUUUUCUACAAAAUGGCUGCAGACGGCUUGAAUCUGAAGUUAACUAACAAAAUAUUUUUAAUCUGGGUGUAGGAAACUAUCUCAGUCCUGCUCCUUAAAUUUCAUUUCUAUUGAAGGUGAUGACUAGCAUCUCUCAUACACACACACGCUUACUUCUAACGUGAUCUGCGGACAUUCCCCCCUGUUUACACUAAGAUAACUUCUUACCGAGCAGCUUUCUCUGCCGCGGGCUUUUAUCUGCAGGAUAAUGUAGGCUCAGACUGGCCGUGCUCUAGGCUUGUUUAUUCAUGGUUGAGACCUGCAUGUUGUUGGAAAGACUUUGGUGAAGAUUUCUUCUCUCUCCGUAGUAGCCAAGUCUGGAGUUGGCCUUCAACAGAUAGCCACACCUGAAUUUUUAGAUAGUUUAAUAAUCAGCGAAGCAUCUCUUCAAGAUUCUGUGCAAAAUAUACCCAUAUGUGUGAUACAGAGAAUGCCUGACUCAUUUUUCCCCACAGCAGAAAACUUAACAACUUUCCCAGGGAAUCAGCAUUUUUAACGAUCUGUGCUUGUUUUCUGCUCAUAGGAAAACUUUGAGAUGACCCAUAAUACAGUUCUUAUUGCAAUGUAGAUUUUCUUUUACUGAUGGUUGGUGUGCAUAUGUUUUGGUUAACGACAAAGAUGUCAAUAAGGUUGGGUCACAGAGUUAGUGCAGAUCCGAAAUUGAGGCAAAAGUAUGGAGAAUAUACUAACAGUCGGAGGGAUCGCAGGCACAUUUUCUCGGCGUUUGUAGCUUUAGGUAACUGCGUCAGGCCUUCACAGCAGGUACAGGGCCCUCAAAUCUGCUCUUCAUUUCAAUUUAAGUCAAAGACUCUGGGCAACAGCUGGCUGCAGAAUAGCUGAUGGAGAACUCCACAGAUGUGGUUCAUAAUGGUUUGAAGAAUAAGAAGAAGUGGGCCAUAGAGCAGACUUCAUUUAAGGAAAGACGAAUUCAAGGAUUCCUCUUUUGGAAGAUUUCCCAAGUUGGGGAAGAGAGGGACUGGUUUCGCAUCACCUUUUCUUCGAGUCCUACAGUAUGUUAAUCACUUAGCAGAUACGUUGUGACCUAUUAUCACCCCACAUGCCUACAACAGCAAAACCAUUGACUUCUUCUGCCCCCAAAUCUCAUUAUGUU